GGAGCGGUGGGAGCCCGGCUUCGGGAGAGUCCGCUCGGGGGCAGGAAGUGGCCCGUUCCUCCUCUCGGGGAGCGUUUCCGGAGCGCCUACUGUGUGCUCCAGGCUGGGAGUCGGGGCCGUUUGCCUAGGGGAGAAGUAAUGCAAAGCCUGACGUUCGUGAGGCCGCUGCCUCCAGCACGUCUCCCGCCGGCCGUGUGAUGGCUCCCAUCGCACCGGGAGGAAACUGAGGCCCAGUGAGCCGGGGCGUUUACCCCAGCUGGUGAGGACCGGGCUCUGCACGCGACGCCUCAGCGGCCGCUAGACUCGGGUAGAAGGCUGCCUCGGACACAGCCCCAAAGCACGCAGCUCCUGGGUCUAGACACAAGUGGCGGCCUGAGCACUGUUCCUUCUGGUGGAAGAUUGCAGACUACUACAUACCCCUGACCAGGAGCUGACUUCUAACAGCACCUCUGGGACCUCUGUACAGCAGGAUGUUGUAAUGGGGGUUGUCUAGGUCCAAAGUCCUGCUGACAUACCCUCAGAGGAAAAGUGAACUACCAAGGGGCCAGGCCACAUGGCCAGAUAUGAGAAGAGGAAAGGUGAACUUCUCUUGG